rnacentral:rRNA from 1 species
CCUAACACAUGCAAGUCGAACGGUAACAGGAAGAAGCUUGCUGCUUCGCUGACGAGUGGCGGACGGGUGAGUAAUGUCUGGGAAGCUGCCUGAUGGAGGGGGAUAACUACUGGAAACGGUAGCUAAUACCGCAUAAUGUCGCAAGACCAAAGAGGGGGACCUUCGGGCCUCUUGCCAUCGGAUGUGCCCAGAUGGGAUUAGCUUGUUGGUGGGGUAACGGCUCACCAAGGCGACGAUCCCUAGCUGGUCUGAGAGGAUGACCAGCCACACUGGAACUGAGACACGGUCCAGACUCCUACGGGAGGC